AAAAUCUAUUGGAUGGAUUUGGAUGCUGCCGUCGCCGGCUCAUCUCGAAAUACAUUAGCUUUGCGCCCAUUAGCGUGCUCGGUGUGAUAAUUAUCAUUCGCCUUAGGCCGCUUCCAGUGACGCUGCUUCUAAUGGUCCCUCGUGGACAACAUAACCAAAGCUUUGGCCUCAAAUCAGGUAGGACUACCCGCUGAACUUAA
rnacentral:misc_RNA from 1 species